GGGUCGAGGGUGUGACAGAUUUUCCUUUUGAUUUUAUCUGAAAGGAGCUUAAGCUCAAGUGGAAUGUGAGUGGGUAGCUCUAUGUUUGACCUCUUUUAGAGGCUCUCCUAGUGUUCAAAUUAUCUUUUGAGAAGGAUAAGAACCAGAUACUUAAUAGAGGACCUUGGUCCUUAGCCAGCUAACUUCUGGCUUUAGAGAACUUGUGACCUAAUUUCAAACCCAACCAUGAUAGCAUUUAGUGUUAGAUGUAUCUUUAGAAGCCAAUCG
rnacentral:lncRNA from 1 species